rnacentral:rRNA from 1 species
UACGUAGGGGGCGAGCGUUGUCCGGAUUUAUUGGGCGUAAAAGGCUUGUAGGUGGCCACGCCAAGUCGGAUGUGAAAUCUCCCGGCUCAACUGGGAGGGGUCAUUCGAUACUGGCGGGCUCGAGGCCGGUAGGGGGUAGCGGAAUUCCCGGUGUAGUGGUGGAAUGCGUAGAUAUCGGGAGGAACACCAGUGGCGAAGGCGGCUACCUGGACCGGUUCUGACACUGAGGAGCGAAAGCGUGGGGAGCGAACAGG